rnacentral:rRNA from 1 species
CAAGCGGUGGAGCAUGUGGUUUAAUUCGAUGCAACGCGAAGAACCUUACCUGGUCUUGACAUCCACAGAAUCUUGCAGAGAUGCGAGAGUGCCUUCGGGAACUGUGAGACAGGUGCUGCAUGGCUGUCGUCAGCUCGUGUUGUGAAAUGUUGGGUUAAGUCCCGCAACGAGCGCAACCCUUAUCCUUUGUUGCCAUUGGUUCGGCCGGGAACUCAAAGGAGACUGCCGUUGAUAAAGCGGAGGAAGGUGGGGACGACGUCAAGUCAUCAUGGCCCUUACGACCAGGGCUACACACGUGCUACAAUGGCGUAUACAAAGGGAGGCGACCUCGCGAGAGCAAGCGGACCUCAUAAAGUACGUCUAAGUCCGGAUUGGAGUCUGCAACUCGACUCCAUGAAGUCGGAAUCGCUAGUAAUCGUGAAUCAGAAUGUCACGGUGAAUACGCUCCCGGGCCUUGUACACACC